GUAGGUGGCAAGCGUUGUCCGGAAUUAUUGGGCGUAAAGCGCGCGCAGGCGGUUCUUUAAGUCUGAUGUGAAAGCCCACGGCUCAACCGUGGAGGGUCAUUGGAAACUGGAGAACUUGAGUACAGAAGAGGAAAGCGGAAUUCCACGUGUAGCGGUGAAAUGCGUAGAGAUGUGGAGGAACACCAGUGGCGAAGGCGGCUUUCUGGUCUGUAACUGACGCUGAGGCGCGAAAGCGUGGGGGGAGCAAACAGGAUUAGAUACCCUGGUAGUCCACGCCGUAAACGAUGAGUGCUAAGUGUUAGGGGGUUUUCCCGCCCCUUAGUGCUGCAGCUAACGCAUUAAGCACUCCCGCCUGGGUAGUACGGCCGCAAGGCUG
rnacentral:rRNA from 1 species